CGAAUAACAAUAGUCAUGAAAGAACCACAACCCUAGAACGUGAAGUUUAGCUCUAUAUAGACAUGGUAGCCAAACAACAAAUCAUACAAAGAAACAUAAAAAUUACUAAGUUUGGUGGGACAAAGAAGAAACUUGAUGAAUUCCGGCCGCCACAGCUUUGUCGUGGCUUUUUCCCUCUUUCCAAUAUGUUCGAUGACCUAAAAGAGGCGUUUUUGGCUUAUAUAUUGCAUACCAAAGUCGUGGGCCAAAGUUCUCCUAUUUCUAAUCCAAAUAGCUUCAGGGAUUGAUGCUAGGGUGGAUGCGUCGCAUCCACCUCGUCCUCCACUUCUCAGCUUCGGAUGCUACGGUGGAUGCUUCGCAUCCACCUCGUCUUCCACUUCUCAGCUUCGGAUGCUACGGUGGAUGCUUCGCAUCCACCUCGUCCUCCACUUCUCAGCUUCGGAUGCUACGGUGGACGCUAUGGGCCGACUUCACUGCUAAGGGUGCACGAAAUCUGAUCUUUUUCUAGAUUGGAUGCGACGCAUCCAAUCUCUCUUCCUCUACCUAGAGCACCUUUUAUUCAUAUUUUUGCACUCCAAACACCUUAAUUCACCACACACAACUCAAUUAGUCAUAAAUCCAAUAAUUAAACCAUGUUGGGCAUUUUAAAGAUCAAAUAACAUCAAGAAGCAGUUAAAACAUGGGUAAAGUAACAUCAACACAUAUCGAAAUAUGCCAAACAUCACCCUGCGGUGGGAAUUUCGGGUCGUGACAGACCGCCUGAUGUACCUGUCACAGAUCCUGCAC
rnacentral:lncRNA from 1 species